rnacentral:rRNA from 1 species
AUUGAACGCUGGCGGCAGGCUUAACACAUGCAAGUCGAGCGGGGGAAGGUAGCUUGCUACCGGACCUAGCGGCGGACGGGUGAGUAAUGCUUAGGAAUCUGCCUAUUAGUGGGGGACAACAUCUCGAAAGGGAUGCUAAUACCGCAUACGUCCUACGGGAGAAAGCAGGGGAUCUUCGGACCUUGCGCUAAUAGAUGAGCCUAAGUCGGAUUAGCUAGUUGGUGGGGUAAAGGCCUACCAAGGCGACGAUCUGUAGCGGGGCUGAGGGGAUGAUCUGCCACACUGGGACUGAGACACGGCCCAGACUCCUACGGGAGGCAGCAGUGGGGAAUAUUGGACAAUGGGGGGAACCCUGAUCCAGCCAUGCCGCGUGUGUGAAGAAGGCCUUAUGGUUGUAAAGCACUUUAAGCGAGGAGGAGGCUACUUUAGUUAAUACCUAGAGAUAGUGGACGUUACUCGCAGAAUAAGCACCGGCUAACUCUGUGCCAGCAGCCGCAGUAA